rnacentral:misc_RNA from 1 species
CAGAGUUGCAAGACUCCCUAAACCCACUGUAAACCUACCUAUGUCGUUGCUUCGGCGGGCGGCCCCAGGGCGGGGUCCAGGCCUGUUACAGGUGCCCGCCGACGGCCGUCGCAAAACUCAGUUGUUAUUUACAGGUGCUCCGAGUCAAAUGACAAAAUCAGUCA